GUAAAUUUGGUUUGAAAAGAUAUUCCCAUGUAUUCUCGAUAACAUGUGACAUAACUCCUCCGUUUCUAUUCAUAAUAUCAUUCAUAAAUAUAAUACCAAUUAUUUAUUUAUUUUACCCAUAAAGAAUGUUUGUUUUUUAAUGAAUCAGUAUAUUUGAGUUUAACCAUUACAUUUGAUGUAAUAUUUGUUCUAUAUUUUCAAGGAGGAUAAAACUGAAAUUGUAAGCAGCUUUGAAUGGCUUGUUAAAAACAGGGGGUGAGACUUUAAACAAAAUGUCCUUUUCAAUUAGUCAGAAGUGAGAAGGUGUGAUCCAUAUAAAGGCACAAGGGAUGAGUCUUUCUACUGGAGAACCAUUUGGGGUUUAAGGAUCAUUUAUGUAUGAGUGAAGCUUUUAGCGAGACGUUUAAAGCUUUAAUAUUUCAUUAUUUUUAGCCCACCCCCAAAACUCACGUUCAUUAUAUAAAUAGACACGUUUAAUUUAAACUGUAAGAGUAUUAUUUCUUGUUUAUAUAACUACAGUUAGAAACUUGAGGAAAGAACAUGUGCAUUAGUCUAGUAGUGACACGUUAGUGAUUUAAGAUAAGUAGCCUAGUGGUUAGAGGCAGGUAGCUUAGUGGUUAGAGGCAGGUAGCCUAGUGGUAAGAGGCAGGUAGCUUAGUGGUUAGAGGCAGGUAGCCUAGUGGUUAGAGGCAGGUAGCUUAGUGGUUAGAGGCAGGUAGCUUAGUGGUAAGAGGCAGGUAGCUUAGUGGUUAGAGGCAGGUAGCCUAGUGGUAAGAGGCAGGUAGCCUAGUGGUAAGAGGCAGGUAGCCUAGUGGUAAGAGGCAGGUAGCCUAGUGGUUAGAGGCAGGUAGCUUAGUGGUUAGAGGCAGGUAGCCUAGUGGUUAGAGGCAGGUAGCUUAGUGGUUAGAGGCAGGUAGCUUAGUGGUAAGAGGCAGGUAGCUUAGUGGUAAGAGGCAGGUAGCCUAGUGGUUAGAGGCAGGUAGCUUAGUGGUUAGAGGCAGGUAGCUUAGUGGUUAGAGGCAGGUAGCUUAGUGGUUAGAGGCAGGUAGCUUAGUGGUUAGAGGCAGGUAGCUUAGUGGUUAGAGGCAGGUAGCCUAGUGGUAAGAGGCAGGUAGCUUAGUGGUUAGAGGCAGGUAGCUUAGUGGUUAGAGGCAGGUAGCUUAGUGGUUAGAGGCAGGUAGCUUAGUGGUAAGAGGCAGGUAGCCUAGUGGUUAGAGGCAGGUAGCUUAGUGGUUAGAGGCAGGUAGCCUAGUGGUUAGAGGCAGGUAGCUUAGUGGUUAGAGGCAGGUAGCUUAGUGGUUAGAGGCAGGUAGCCUAGUGGUUAGAGGCAGGUAGCUUAGUGGUAAGAGGCAGGUAGCUUAGUGGUUAGAGGCAGGUAGCUUAGUGGUUAGAGGCAGGUAGCCUAGUGGUUAGAAGCAGGUAGCUUAGUGGUUAGAGGCAGGUAGCCUAGUGGUUAGAAGCAGGUAGCACUGAGCUUCUGAUCAGUACUGACACUACACAUGUAAAUUGCAGUAGUGAUCAGUACUGACACUACACAGGUAAAUGACAGUAGUGAUCAGUACUGACACUACACAUGUAAAUGGCAGUAGUGAUCAGUACUGACACUACACAGGUAAAUGACAGUAGUGAUCAGUACUGACACUACACAUGUAAAUGGCAGUAGUGAACAGUACUGACACUAGACAGGUAAAUGGCAGUAGUGAUCAGGAGAAAUAUAGAGGCAUUUGGUUGUAAUUCGAUAGUGAACACUCCGGAAUUGAGUAGGAAAUAGGAAGUGCUCACAAGUAGUGAAACAUCCCAAUUUAUCACUAAUUACCACAUAAAUCAAUACUGGUUUACUACACAUCUCAAUAGCAAUCAAGUAGUAGUAAUUUAGUAGUACUGUAGUAGUAAUGUAGUAGUAAUUUAGUAGUACUGUAGUAGUAAUGUAGUAGUAAUGUAGUAGUAAUUU